rnacentral:sRNA from 1 species
UGUCUGGGUUAGGUUUGACUCCGUCAGU